CACACACACACACACACACACACACACACUGUCUCACCAUUUAACUCUGACUGUCUAUCUCUGCCUCCUGAGUGGUGAGAUGAAAGUCCUGUGCUACCUCAUCCAGACUAAAUAUUUAUUUAAAAUUCAUAUUUUUAGUGUGCAUGAGGCACAUGUGGAGGUUAGUAGACAACUGAGUGAGUCUGUUAUCUCCUCCUAUCAUGAAGGUCUCAGGGAGCACAUGCAGAAUGCCAGGUGUCUUAGGUAGGGUUUUACUGCCACGAACAGACACCAUGACCAAGGCAACUCUUAUAAGGACAACAAUUAAUUGGGGCUGGCUUACAGGUUCAGAGGUUCAGUCCAUUAUCAUCAAGGCAGGAACAUGGUAGCAUCCAGGCAGACAUGGUACAGGAGGAGCUGAGAGUUCUACAUCGUCAUCUGAAGGCUGCUAGCAGAAUACUGGCUUUUAGGCAGCUAGGAUGAGGGUCUUAAAGCCCGCACCCACAGUGACACACCUACUCCAACAAGGCCACACCUCCAAAUAGUGCCACUGCCUGGGCCAAGCAUAUACAAGCCAUCACACCAGGUUUGACAGCAAGCAUUUUCACCCAGUGAGCCAUCUUAUUGGCCCGAUUUUUUAAAAAAAAGAUUUAUUUAUUUUGUGUUUGCCUGUGUGAGCUUAUGUGUUCCAUGUGUGUGCAGGUGCCCUCAGGGUAGAAGAGGGAUGAGGUAGGUGCUUACUGUCAGGAACUAGACAUGGAUGGUUCUGAACUGCCAUGUGGCUUCUGCAAGCCACACUUGGGUCUUCUGCAAAUGCAUUGGGCACUUUUAAUGGCGGAGCUAAUUUUCCAGUCUCCCUAAAUGUUUUUAAUAGCAAUAUAUAUGUAUAUAUACAUAUACUAGACAUAUAAUAGGAGCUGGAGAGAUGGCUCUAUAGUUAAGGGCAUUAGUCUAAAAGUCCUGCAUUGAAGACUGGUUAAGCAGCUCUGGGUAUAUAUACAUGACAGGAUGAGUUUAGUUAUAUUUGUAAGACUUUUAAUAGUGUGGUAGAAUAACUACUUUGGAUGAAAAGAAAAAUAUAAUUUCAACUGUCUUAAAGUUCCCUAAGGUGGCAUGUGUGGUCCCAGCUACUCAGGAGACUAUUCUUGAGCCCACUCUGGAUAAGAGUGAGACCUUGUGUUUUAUUUUAAAAAAGAAGAGGAGGAGGAGGAAGAAGAGGAGGAAGAGGAGGCAGAGAGAUGACUCAGAGGGUAAAGGUCCUUGCUUCCAAGUCUGAAGCCUGAGUUCCAUCCCAGGACUCACAUGGUGGGAGCAGAGAGCUGAUUCCUGAAACUUCUUUCACACAUUCUCCACACAUGUGGACUUCUACAGUAAAUAUAUGUAAAAAAUUCU
rnacentral:lncRNA from 1 species